GGUGAUAGCGGAGGGGAAACACCCGUUCCCAUCCCGAACACGGAAGUUAAGCCCUCCAGCGCCGAUGGUAGUUGGGGCCAGCGCCCCUGCAAGAGUAGGUCGCU
rnacentral:rRNA from 1 species